AACAAACCCAACGAAAUGUAAAUUGAUUUACUUUUAACCAGCUUGCCUUGUGAAACAAUGCCACAGAGAAAAAGUAUGCAGACAUUGACAAGGUUCCCUGGAACAGUUUCUGCAAGGAGCAGAGGAGAGGCAAGCAUGACUUGAUAAAGUGUCCACAGCCCGUGACAGAGAGGAGGAAUUAGACAACCAAAAUAUCAGCACUGUUGUCUGUAAAGCUCCUGGCUGCUAUUUUGGAAAGAAAGAGAAUAAAGUCAAGGGAACUACUAGGCCAGGUGAAUGCUGGAGAUGGUAUUGUGACAUCAAGCCUAGAAGAAGAGUUCCAUUUGGUCAUUCGAUGCCUGGGAUGGAUAGGGGUAGGCAAUGAAAAUGGAUAUAAGGAGAAAGAGAAGGAUGUCAAAAAUAAGAAUCCUUUUUCCAGCGGGAUGGUUUUGUCGUUGUGGGUGAAUGUGGAGAAGAAAACAGAAACUCAGCAAUGGGAAACGACUUGACUGAAUUACAGAAACAAAUAUUCGAAAUUUAAAUUCAGGGCUAAUUUCACUUCUGAUGCUUUUUCUGAUCACCAAGCCAAGAUGUAUUAUUGCUAUUCAUGUAAAAAGAAGUACUUGGAUAUAUACUGAGCAGUAGUACCCUAUAUUUUUUUACUCCAGAAAUUAUACAGACCGUGAAAACAACAAAAGACAAAUUACUUUCCCUUUUCCUCUACCAUAUUUAAAAUAAAG
rnacentral:lncRNA from 1 species